GGACCUCUAGAUGGACCUCCAGAUGGACCUCUAGAUGGACCUCCAGAUGGACCUCUAGAUGGACCUCCAGAUGGACCUCCAAUUGGACCUCUAGAUGGACCUCCAGAUGGACCUCUAGAUGGACCUCCAGAUGGACCUCCAGUUGGACCUCCAAUUGGACCUCCAGUUGGACCUCCAGAUGGACCUCCAAUUGGACCUCCAGAUGGACCUCCAGAUGGACCUCUAGAUGGACCUCCAGAUGGACCUCUAGAUGGACCUCCAGAUGGACCUCCAGAUGGACCUCCAGUUGGACCUCCAAUUGGACCUCCAGUUGGACCUCCAAUUGGACCUCUAGAUGGACCUCCAGAUGGACCUCCAGAUGGACCUCCAGAUGGACCUCCAGACUCUGUGUCAGCAGCCUGGAGCCCUGAACCUGCAUCCACUCAGACCGUCAUGUAAACCACAACCAGCUGUGAGCCAGUAACACGGUCCAGAACCAGCAAGUAACUGCUCCCGGUCUCAGAGGGUCAGGGUGGCUGCGGUGUCGCAUUGGUGGAGGAGCAGGCCGAUGGAGAGCGACUGUCGGAUCCCUGUGGCCUGCUGUCGGCCUCGAGUCCUCGUCCUCCACGCUCUGUUCUGGGGCCUCGUCUCCCUCAGGUCAGUCUGAGGUUCUAGAAGUCCUUUAGAGGGUUCCUGUGGUCCUUUAGAGGGUUCCUGUGGUCCUUUAGAGGGUUCCGGUGGUCUUUGAGGGUUCCGGUGGUCUUUGAGGGUUCCGGUGGUCCUUUAAAGGGUUCGGGUAGUCCUUUAGAGCAGGGGUCUUCAGCGUUUUCCAUGCCAAGGCCCCCAAACUGAUGGAGAGAUGGAGCGGGACCCCCUACUUUUAUAUAUAUUUAUAUAUAUAUAUAUAUAUAUAUAUAUAUAUAUAUAUAUAUAUAUAGUAUAAAAUUGUGUUUUAUAUGAAACUGGUCCUAUAGUGUAUAAUGUAUAAAUGUACCUUGUUAUUGUGCAUUCAAUACUAAGAUAUUCAAAUAAUACACAGGUUCAUAUAUUCGUGUUUUUAUUUUAAACAUGUGUAAGGUACAGUGAGUAGGGUGGCCAUGCCACUGGCAUUCAUAAACAUAACACAAUCAACUGAUACCUGCCAAGAUCAACAAUGUCUGUCAAUUGCAUGUAAUCAUGCAUAAAAGCUAUUCAAAUGGACAUUUUCAAAACAUAAAUGUGGAAAUGAAAAUUAGUGAUGCUUGUUAGUGCCACUGGCAUGCAUAAACACACCUGUUAUAUUGCUUACAAUACUGAACUAUUAACAUAACUGACAGAUUCAUGUUUUAAUUUUAAACAUACAUGUAGUAUGGGCAGUGAAUCCUCAAACCCUCUAUGGAUGGCAUACAUACUCCCACAUUAGUGAGAUGUCUGACCCUGAUGAGUAGCACACAACUUGUCUAACCUUGGACGUAUGGAGGUUGUCAGGCAGGGUCAUAUCAGUCUCAGGCUGCAGCCUCCACCUGUAUUUGUUUUUCAGGUAGGUGAGUGAGGAAAAUCCACUUUCACAAAGAUUUGUUGUAGCAAAGGGCAACAGGCUCAUCAUUGCUUUUGCUGCCAGUUGUUGAAAGUCUUUCUGGCAAGAUAUCCA
rnacentral:lncRNA from 15 species